CCCAUCCGGCAAACUGAUGGAGUCAUCGGGUGUAACAGCAACUCCAUGUGGACUGUGCUCGGAUUCCAGUGGAGCUGCUGUUACUUCUGAUGGCCUCCAACCGGCUACAAACAUGGA
rnacentral:precursor_RNA from 7 species